AGACAGGAACGCCUGCUUAGGUUCAUGAUGCUCUGUCACUGUCUGGUCUUCACAUGGAUUCAUGAGGCUGCACCAGGAACGGGCCCGCUUCAGCAGCUGUGUCACGUUGCCCGGAGGCCGCCGCCAAGCACUCCAUCCGCCCUCCAUCUUCCGCAACAUCUCCCGUCCAAUAAUUGCCCCUGAGUCUUUAUCUGCAGAGAGAUUUGACAGCCGCCUGGCCGUGUCCUUGGAAGUAGCCUUCUGAAGAGGUUCUCUUGAGCUGGAAAGCCUUGCAGGAGAGCUCCUGGAGGGGUAGGCAACCGAGCAGCACCAUCUGGCCGAUAUAAACCGCCACUCCAAGUGACCUCCGUGCGGGAUGGAGUUGCUGGCAUCCUGACAAGAACGAGCCACCCGACCAUAAUGGCUCCCGGGCCGCACUUUGGACACCCUUGUGCUAACAUGUGUCACAUGCAUGUCGGCGACCAUGGAAUUUUAAGCCGCCAAAAGCCAAAGAAAAAACAGAAUCAGAUACAGCUUCAAUUUGCAGGAUUUGCUGACAUCGGUUGAAAGAUUUUCAGAAGCGUAUUUUUCCUGGAUAUCUCGGGCAAAUUCUUGGCAAAUUCCUGGCAAAUUCCGCAUGCAGCGCUUGAUUGUGGGGUUUAGCAAGUGAAACUGCCAACAACAAAUGAAGUGGCUGAAAAGGAGAAUGACCAGAGCGCCUUCACUCUUGACCUGAUAACUUUCUGCAUGGUUUCCAAGUGUGUCACUAGGCAAAAGGAAAGCGGAUCACACACUACUGCCCCCUAAUGGUGAGUGUAUUCCAAUGAAAUAGCCUCCAAGGAAAACAUUCACAGUGGCAUUCAAAUGGGAAUGUUCUGAUUGUCCGAGCAAAGGCAGAAAUAGUUCUGCAGAUGUUGUAUUGGGUUCCUUUAGCAUGCGUUGGGGUACCUAAUGAAGUGGCCAGUCUCUCUCUCUCUCUCUCUCUCUCUCCCCCUCUCUCUCUCCACUCCCUGUCCCUUUUUCCUCUUCCUCACUCUCUGCUGUCUCGGUCACUCGGUUCCAUAGCAGUAGUUGUGAAGAGUACCGAGUGAGCAGCUCCGUUUCCGCCCCAGAAGCAGGAACCACUACCGGACCGCCCCGCUCCCUCCCCGAUAGCCCGCAUGGAGGUACCAACCGGCCGCAGACGCUGCGCCCCUGUCCGCUCCCUCACGGAACCUUCUUGUCCAGUCUGAGGGGGGGUCGGGGUGGUGGUGGCGGCGGCGGCGGAAAGAAGAAGUCUGCAAGAUCACUUUCGACCCGAGACGAGGAUUUUUUUUUGGAAGGCGAACCGCUCCUCUCUCGCUAUUGACUUUAUUGAAAGAGCAUCGAUGAAUUCGGAUAAAAAUGUUUACCUCGGCAGAGACAAAGGCAUCAUGCGGAAAAGAGCCUUGCUCCUUCGGAAGGGCUGCAGCUUCGAGAUUACCAGCUCGGCCUCGGAGGACUUGGGCUGCAGGCGUGGAGACUUCAGCAGGAAGCACUAUGGCUCUGUGGAGCUGCUGAUAUCCAGUGAUGCAGAUGGGGCCAUUCAGAGGGCGGGACGCUUCAGGGUGGAGAAUGGCUCCACAGAUGAGCAGACUUUGGACUACACCCCUGGAACCUGGAGGAGAACCGACGUCCAUCUGGAGAAUCCCGAGUACCACACCAGAUGGUUCUUUAAAUACUUUCUGGGAAAAGUCCAUCAGAACUACGUGGGCACGGAUGCAGAAAAGAACCCCUUCUACCUGUCAGUGGUGCUGUCAGACCAGAACAAUCAGCGGGUGCUGCAGUAUCGAGCCAUCCUGUGGAGAAAAACGGGGACCUUAAAGAUCAGCCUGCCCUACAGCCCCACCAAAACACUGUCAGUCAAGUCCAUCCUGAGCGCAAUGAACAUGGACAGGUUUGAGAGAGGCCCCAGGGAGAUCCUCAACCCUGACAUUCAGAAGGAUCUGCUGGUGCUGGAGGAACAAGAGGGCUCUGUCAACUUUAAAUUUGGUGUUCUCUAUGCCAAAGACGGACAGCUCACAGAUGAUGAGAUGUUUAGCAACGAAAUGGGCAGCGACAGCUUUGACAAGUUCCUCAAUCUGCUCGGCGACACCAUCACGCUGCAGGGAUGGGCGGGCUACCGGGGAGGCCUGGACACCAAGAAUGACACUACAGGGAUCAAGUCCAUCUACACGGUGUAUCAGGGCCACGAGCUCAUGUUCCAUGUGUCCACCAUGUUGCCCUAUUCCAAAGAGAACAAACAGCAGGUGGAGCGAAAGAGGCAUAUCGGAAACGACAUUGUCACGAUAGUAUUCCAGGAGGGCGAUGAAGUGUCGUCGUCGUUCAAACCCUCCAUGAUCCGAUCUCAUUUCACCCAUAUUUUUGCAUUAGUUAGAUAUAACAGUCAGAACGACAGCUACAGGUUGAAGAUAUUCUCAGAAGAGAGCGUGCCGCUCUUUGGACCUCCUCUACCGUCGCAGCCCGUGUUUACCGAUCACCACGAAUUCAGGGACUUUUUACUAGUCAAACUAAUCAAUGGAGAGAAAGCCACACUGGAGACGCCAACAUUUGCCCAGAAGCGUCAGCGUACCCUGGACAUGCUGAUCCGCUCGCUCUACCAAGACCUCAUGCCCGACCUGCACAAGGUCCCUUUUUCCCCGCAGAACAUGUUGAACCGGCGCUCCUUCAGCGACGUGCUGCCCGAGUCCCCAAAGUCGGCACGCAAGAAGGAGGAGGCGCGGCAGGCCGAAUUUGUCAGGAUAGGCCAGGCUCUCAAGCUGAAGACCAUUGUGAGAGGAGAUGCCCCCACCAGCUUGGUCACCACGGGCCUGUGCAGAAAGGAGCCGUGGGAGUCGCAGUCGUUCUGCAGCACGUUCCCAUAUGAGAUCGUGUGUGCCGACUCCUGGGGUCAGUCGCUGCUGGUGGCCACCGACACAGCGGGAGUCGUCCUGCUGGAGGGACCUGAUCCACCUUCGUCCUGCACUGAAGCGCAGGCUCUCCCCCCGGUACAAGUGUUUGACAAGACGCUGCUGGUGAAGCAGAUGCACAUUCUGGAGCCUCAGGACCUGCUCAUCACCAGGGCGGACAAAGGGAAGGAUGCUCGUCUCUAUGUGUUCCGACUCAGCACGCUCAAGAGAGGUCUGGAGGAGAGGCAGCUCGCUCGGAACAAGUGUGACAGCCGAGAGAAUAAACUGGAGAAAACGAAAGGAUGCCAUUUAUACUCCAUUAACACCCAUCAUGGCUCGGAGCUGAGGAUUGUGGCAGCCAUCAGGAACAAGCUCCUCCUCAUCACGAGGAAGCGCUUUGAAGGCUUCAGCGCCAUGGGAACGGACUCGCCGGUGGAGGAGUUUCAGUACAUACGAGAGAUCUGUCUGUGCGACCCGCCCGUGGUGAUGGCGCUGGUGGACGGGCCGACGGGCGAGAACGACAACAUGAUCUGCGUGGCCUACAAGCAUCAGUUCGACCUCAUCAAUGAGAGCACCGGCGACGCCUACCGGCUGCACCACGUCGACGCCAACAGGGUCAAUUUUGUGGCAGCGAUCGACAUGUAUGAAGAUGGCGAGGCAGGGCUGCUGUUGUGCUACAAUUAUAUUUGUUACUACAAGAAAGUUUGUCCGUUUAACGGCUCCACGCCCAUGAUCCAGUCCAACACGUCAGACUUCCACUUCAGCUGGAACCAGAUGCCCAAUGCUAUUGUUUGCGCCUUCCCGUACAUCCUGGCCUUCACAACAGACUCCAUUGAGAUCCGCCUGGUGGUCAACGGCAACCUCGUGUACACAGCGGUGGUCCCGGAGCUGCAGCUCGCCUCCUCACGGUCGGACAUCUACUUUAUUUCAUCGGCGCCGGUGAGCUCGGCUUCCAACUGCAGUUCCAGGGACACCAGUUCACAGAGUUCUCCGCAAACUCCCACCGGUUACGAGAUGCCCGUCUUCCCCUCGCCCCUCGGUGACGAUUCUAUACGGAUCCCCUAUGGUACCAAGCUUUCGCUGUACAUGUCAAAGGAUGCUGAAGGUGACGCGUCGUGCAAGCACAUCUUCAAGAUCCCGCUGUGCAACCUGGUGGGCCGCAGCAUCGAAAGGCCCCUCAAGUCGCCGCUGGUCAACAAGGUGCUGACGGCGCCGUCGGCCCCCGCCGUGGUCGCCACCACGCCCCUCAUCUCGGCCACGCACUCACUCUCCCUGUCCCGCAUGGAGAUCAAGGAGAUAGCCAGCCGUACGCGCAAAGAGCUGCUGGGCCUAACAGAAGAACCCAGUGGGAAAUCGGACAGCGGCACUUUGAAACAGAGGAAGAUGAGCAAGAAGAACACAGAAGAAGAGGCUAAACCUCGAGCGCUAACGUCAACAAACAGUGACAGGUUGGACUCGGAGGCCAGCGAGUCGGACCUGGACAUCUGCGCCGUGUCAUCCCACCUGGAGGCCGAACCGGAGAGGUCGGUGCUGCAGGCGGAGAGUCCGCCGCUCGCCAGCGCCUUCGCCCUUGCCACUUCCUUCGAGGAAGACGUCCUUGACCUAAAGUGAAGACAAUCCCAUCGUGCACUUCUCUCGACAACCGUUGCUAUGCUCUCCUUCUUUUUUGCUUGCUGUGCUUCUUUGGUUGGGUUUCUAUGACAUGUUUGCAUCCUUGUGAGUGUCCCCUUCCACAGGACAAGACGGACGUUUUCGUCAGAGUCGCCCCGCUACAUCAGUAACUAACCCAAAGAGGCAAAAAUGAGCUUUAGAGGCCAUCUUUGUCCUUCAGCAGCCUUCAGAUGACAGUUGAUCCCAAACCUCAAACUGAAUGUAAAUCCACACAUUCUACACUAUUCACUCUCCCAUCGCUAUACGUAUUCUUAUUUGGAUUUGUCCACACCACCUUGUAAUGAUGAUGCUAGUGUACAUCUGUUUAUACACAAAGACAGUGUCUAUAUUGUGAAAAAAUAUAUAUUUUAUUCUCAUACUUAGUAAAUGUUCUAUGCUGUGUUCCAGUUCUACCCUUCCAUUUAAUAUACACAGGUAAACAGGGCUGGAGGUGUGUCAUUAAGUGCCAUUUCCCAGCAGCCACCACUGCACCUCCCUGAAAGACACCAUUCUUCUGGUAGCAGCCAUGAUUGUAGUCCACUUCUGGUGGAAGAAAAACCCGGUUUAAGCAAAGUGUCCUUGCUUACACAAAUAAACAACAAAGUUAGCAUAACAUUAUGAAUACUUUGCGGUACUGCGUGUCUUUGGGCAACAAAAAAAGCGUUCUGAGUGUAGAAUUGCCACUUUUUGCAGAUUAAACCCUUGCCGUGGCUCACUAUCGCCUCUUCAGGUCGUAAGUGGUAUUACGAGAUAAUGUAAUAGACUCUUAUGUGAAAUACAAGGUAAUGGCUUCCUGGUAGCAGUGUGUCCACUAUGCUGACAUUGUACUACAGCGCCUCUGUGUGGUGGCUUUAUGUCACAGCAGCCUUCAGAUUACUUGCAUGAGCUCUUUUUUCCCGCGCGUGUCCUCCAUUAAGAAAAGGCGGUGGAAGGUGGAUGUUUACAAAGAUGCUCCACUCUUUGUGUAUUAUAACUGAGAUUUGAGCAUAAUUUCCUGCCCCUGUUAAGUCUACGUGGCCGUCGGUGGAUGAACAAUGGACUGGCCUGGCCAACAGACAGCAGAGGCCUCCAGACCGGAAGUGGUCUGCUGGGGGAGAGAACAGGAGGAGAAAGUGGAGGGGAAGUUCAGAAAGUCAAAAAUCUAGUCGAAACAAACCACAUGAAUCAUCUCAGAUUAAGGAUCUUGGUGAAGCUUUUUAGAGCUGCCACUAUUUUUGUCCUUAUGACCGCAUAUGGUGAUCAAAAAUUGUCCAAAGUAUAUUUCAUAAUGGUCCAAUGGCCAAAAAAAGUCAUCUGUCUUUACCUUCUCUCAAACAACUUUAUUCCAAAAGAAUAGAUGUGUGUGUGUGUGUGUGUGUAGUACGUGUACACCUCCCCUGUCCUCAUUAAGGCACUGAAAG